rnacentral:lncRNA from 1 species
CUCUUUCAUCAGAGAGAGCUGGGGGGUGGUGAGGGGAAGGCGGAGGCCGGCCUGGAAGGAAACCCGGGGGUCAGAGGAACCUGGGGGGCUUCACAAGGCUGGGGAGAGGGGUGUGCUGAAUAUGCUCUGCCACCCAGGUGUCAAGCUCUGGACUCUGGUCUCCAGCUCAAAGUAGAUGAUGCUGCCAGUGGAGACCAGGAGGCCGGUGGGGAGAGCCUGCCUGAUGGGGGAGCAGAGGGGUCCAUGUUCCCGUCCUCAGUCUGGAGACUAUUCCUAGCCUUGGGGCUGCACCUAGGGAUGGACUGAUCCAGGCUGAACCCACAUCUCUGGUGACAUGAGGGGUGAAGGGAUUGCUCUGAAAGACUGGCUUGUAACACACCCUGGGUGCCUGACACAGAGCUCAUGGCCAAGAUGCCCGCCCAGAUCUGUGCAGCGUCCCUGCCCCCAGGAGCAGCUGAGGACACAGGCUGUCACAAUUGGCCAGACCGAGUGUUGCAGUGGAGAUGGCACAGCCUGGAGUAAAGAAGGGGGCACCCCUCCAGGCAGGGGAGCCAGGUGGGUAAUAUCUGUGCUGAGUAACCAGGCAAACAAAUUGGUGAGGAAGAGCUGGGAAGGGCAUCCAGCAAAGGGAACAGUGUGAGCAAAGGCCCAGAGCCAGAGGAGAGCCUGGGUGUUCUGGAGCUGUGCGUCACGACUUCCGAGGUGACGCAAUCCAAGGUGUGUCAACCUCCUGCGUCCAGGGCUCCCUUCUCUGAGCUGCCGUCUCCAGCUGACACCCACUUGUCUGUUUCUGCUGAACCUCCUCUAAGAUGGCUCCUCGGGACCCGCUCGAUCGAUAGACUAGAAACCAACUCAAGAGAGUUUGUACUGGGUUGAAUGUUGUCCCCCCCGAAUUCAUACUCCCCUGGAACCUCAGAAUGUGACCAUAAUUGGAAAUAAGGCCCUGGUAGAUCUAAUUAGCUAAGAUGGGCUCAUCUGGAUUCAGGUGUCCUUAUAAGAAGAGGGAAAUUUGGACAAAGAUUCGGACACAAGGGGAGAGCACGGUUUGAAGAUGGAGGCAGAGGUUGGAGUGAGGCACCUACAAGCCGAGAAACACCAAGGACGGCAGGCAGCCACCAGAAGCCAGGAGAGAGGCAGGGACAGAUUCGCCCUCGGGAUCUCUGGAAGGAACCAACCCUGCCAACACUGCAAUUUCAGACUUCUGGCCUCCUGAACCGUGAGAGAAUAAAUUUCUAUUGUUUUCUACCUUGUGGCAAUUUGUUACAGCAGCCCUAGGAAACUGAUAGAGAUUUUAAGCAGAAUAUGGGAGUAAGGCAAGGGGUCUAAGGGACUUUCAGGAGAACCCGGGGGCAAGAAUGCAGUGGGACCUCAAAAAGAUACAAAGACCAGGGGCUGAAAAGCCCGAAAUCUUCUCUCUCACCCAGGACCCGCUCUUCCUCCCUGCGCCUCUGAUUCGGGGCUGUCUCUCAGUCUCUCUUUCUCUGCACAGCAGCUUCUUCAAUUGCUUUAGUCCUUUCCAUGGGCUCAAGAGGCCCCACGGCUCCCCAGCUUACAUGUUACGGUACCCAAGCUCCGGGUAGCUGAAGAGCCACUGUUUUCUUCAUUCUAAUUCCAUAUUCCUGGGGAAAACACUGAUUGGCUCACCUGGGGCCAGGUGCCCACCCCUGGUCCAAUCGACCUGGGCAGACUCAAAGGCCAGCGUAUCCGACCGGAGGCUGCCGGUAGCCACAGGGAUGCACCAGGGGGUGUUCCCAGAGAAAGGAGCUGCGCGUACACCCAAGGGCACCAUGCUCUUGACAUCCGGCACGCCCCAAGAUUGGAGCUCCUGUUGACUGAGGCCCUGCUACCCACUGACAGACUUCCCUGAUGCCACCUGUA